rnacentral:rRNA from 1 species
GACGAACGCUGGCGGCGUGCUUAACACAUGCAAGUCGAACGGAAAGGCCCUGCUUUUGUGGGUUGCUCGAGUGGCGAACGGGUGAGUAACACGUGAGUAACCUGCCCUUGACUUUUGGAUAACUUCAGGAAACUGGGGCUAAUACCGGAUAGGAGCUCCUGCUGCAUGGUGGGGGUUGGAAAGUUUCGGCGGUUGGGGCUGGACUCGCGGCUUAUCAGCUUGUUGGUGGGGUAGUGGCUUACCAAGGCUUUGACGGGUAGCCGGCCUGAGAGGGUGACCGGCCACAUUGGGACUGAGAGACGGCCCAGACUCCUACGGGAGGCAGCAGUGGGGAAUAUUGCACAAUGGGCGGAAGCCUGAUGCAGCAACGCCGCGUGCGGGAUGACGGCCUUCGGGUUGUAAACCGCUUUCGCCUGUGACGAAGCGUGAGUGACGGUAAUGGGUAAAGAAGCACCGGCUAACUACGUG